rnacentral:miRNA from 1 species
GAAGAUAAGAAGAUAUAGAUAAGGAAGAUAAAGAUAAGGAUAAGUUUCCUUAUCCUUAUCUUUAUCUUCCUUAUCUUUAUCCUCUUAUCUUCCUUAUCCUUAU